rnacentral:rRNA from 1 species
GACGAACGCUGGCGGCGUGCUUAACACAUGCAAGUCGAACGGUGAAGCACCUUCCUUUUGGUGGGUGUGGAUGAGUGGCGAACGGGUGAGUAACACGUGAGUAACCUGCCCCCUUCUUCUGUAUAACCGCAUGAAAGUGUGGCCAAUACGGGAUAUUCUCGGUCUGUCGCAUGCCGGGCCUGGGAUAGCUAUUGUUUCGGUUGGGGAUGUGCUCGCGGUCUAUCAGCUUGUUGGUGGGGUGAUGGCCUACCAAGGCGAUGAGGAGUAGCCGGCCUGAGAGGGUGGCCGGUCAGGCUGGGAAGGAGACACAGCCAAGCCUGCUACGGGAGGCAGCAGUGAGGAAUAUUGCACGAUGGGGGGAAGCAUGAUGCAGCGACGGCGCGUGAGUGAUGGAGGCAUGCGGGUUGAAAGCCUCUUUCGCCAGUGAAGCAGGCCUGUCCCUUUUGUGGGUGGGUUGACGGUAGCUGGAGAAGAAGCGCCGGCUAACUACGUG